UAGGAAAUGAGACAAAACAGUCUACGUGAG
rnacentral:piRNA from 1 species